rfam:Trichobilharzia regenti genome assembly, scaffold: TRE_scaffold0079772
GUCCAGCUAACGAGUCCCAAAUAGGACGAAAUGCGCGUCCUGGUGGAU